rnacentral:lncRNA from 1 species
CGGGGACCCACGGGAAGAAGACGCCGCCCCCUCCCGCUGCCCCAAGCCAGGGCAGUGCCUACAACAGAAGUAUGUGUUGAAUGAUGAAUGCCACAGUCCCCUUUAUGGACAGAGCCAGCAUCAGAAGCCAAGCAGAAGGAGUACCUCCAGAAGCAAACCUCUGUUCUAACCAGAAAUCAGAACCAAGAUAGAACAAGAAUUAAACAUGAACUGAA